rnacentral:tRNA from 1 species
GGGUUAUAGCUCAGCUGGGAGAGCACCUGGUUCGCAAUCAGGGGGUCAGGGGUUCGAAUCCCCCUAGCUCC